rnacentral:rRNA from 1 species
AGGCCUAACACAUGCAAGUCGAGCGGUAGAGAGAAGCUUGCUUCUCUUGAGAGCGGCGGACGGGUGAGUAAUGCCUAGGAAUCUGCCUGGUAGUGGGGGAUAACGUUCGGAAACGGACGCUAAUACCGCAUACGUCCUACGGGAGAAAGCAGGGGACCUUCGGGCCUUGCGCUAUCAGAUGAGCCUAGGUCGGAUUAGCUAGUUGGUGGGGUAAAGGCUCACCAAGGCGACGAUCCGUAACUGGUCUGAGAGGAUGAUCAGUCACACUGGAACUGAGACACGGUCCAGACUCCUACGGGAGGCAGCAGUGGGGAAUUUUCUGCNCGAAAGCCUGAUCCAGCCAUGCCGCGUGUGUGAAGAAGGCCUUUUGGUUGUAAAGCACUUUAAGCGAGGAGGAGGCUACUUGGAUUAAUACUCUAGGAUAGUGGACGUUACUCGCAGAAUAAGCACCGGCUAACUCUGUGCCAGCAGCCGCGGUAAUACAGAGGGUGCGAGCGUUAAUCGGAUUUACUGGGCGUAAAGCGUGCGUAGGCGGCUUUUUAAGUCGGAUGUGAAAUCCCUGAGCUUAACUUAGGAAUUGCAUUCGAUACUGGGAAGCUAGAGUAUGGGAGAGGAUGGUAGAAUUCCAGGUGUAGCGGUGAAAUGCGUAGAGAUCUGGAGGAAUACCGAUGGCGAAGGCAGCCAUCUGGCCUAAUACUGACGCUGAGGUACGAAAGCAUGGGGAGCAAACAGGAUUAGAUACCCUGGUAGUCCAUGCCGUAAACGAUGUCUACUAGCCGUUGGGGCCUUUGAGGCUUUAGUGGCGCAGCUAACGCGAUAAGUAGACCGCCUGGGGAGUACGGUCGCAAGACUAAAACUCAAAUGAAUUGACGGGGGCCCGCACAAGCGGUGGAGCAUGUGGUUUAAUUCGAUGCAACGCGAAGAACCUUACCAGGGUUUGACAUUUUGUGAAUUUAUUCGAAAGAAUAAAGUGCCUUCGGGAACACAUAAACAGGUGGUGCAUGGCUGUCGUCAGCUCGUGUCGUGAGAUGUUGGGUUAAGUCCCGCAACGAGCGCAACCCUUGUUUCUAGUUGCUUUAUAAAGGGUAUCUUGAAAGACUGCCGGUUAUAAACCGGAGGAAGGUGAGGAUGACGUCAAGUCAUCAUGCCCCUUACACCCUGGGCUACACACGUGCUACAUUGGGUAAGACAAUAAGUUGCGAAUUUGUGAAAAUAAGCUAAUCUCUAAACUUACUCUAAGUUCGGAUUGAAGGCUGCAACUCGCCUUCAUGAAGAUGGAAUCGCUAGUAAUCGCUGGUCAGCUAUACAGCGGUGAAUCCGUUCCCGGGUCUUGUACACACCGCCCGUCACACCAUGGAAGCUGGUUAUACCCAAAGUCGCUAUUCUAACCAUAAUUUGGAGGAAGGUGCCUAAGGUAAAGCUAGUGACUGGGGUGAAGUCGUAACAAGGUAGCCGUACGGGAACGUGUGGCUG